CUACGGGGGGCACUAGUGGGGAAUAUUGGACAAUGGGGGAAACCCUGAUCCAGCAAUGCCGCGUGUGUGAAGAAGGCCUGCGGGUUGUAAAGCACUUUCGGUUGGGAGGACUGCUUCUAGCACUAAUAUUGUUGGAAGUUGACGUUACCUUCAGAAGAAGCACCGGCUAACUCCGUGCCAGCAGCCGCGGUAAUACGGGAGGGUGCAAGCGUUAAUCGGAAUUACUGGGCGUAAAGCGCGCGUAGGCGGCUAGAUCAGUCGGGUGUGAAAGCCCCGGGCUUAACCUGGGAACUGCAUCCGAUACUGUCUAGCUUGAGUACAGGAGAGGAGAGUGGAAUUCCACAUGUAGCGGUGAAAUGCGUAGAUAUGUGGAGGAACACCAAUGGCGAAGGCAGCUCUCUGGCCUGAUACUGACGCUGAGGUGCGAAAGCGUGGGGAGCAAACAGGAUUAGAUACCCCUGUAGUC
rnacentral:rRNA from 1 species